ACGAACGCUGGCGGCGUGCUUAACCCAUGCACGUCGCACGGAAAGGCCCUGCUUUUGUGGGGUGCUCGAGUGGCGAACGGGUGAGUAACACGUGAGUAACCUGCCCUUGACUUUGGGAUAACUUCAGGAAACUGGGGCUAAUACCGGAUAGGAGCUCCUGCUGCAUGGUGGGGGUUGGAAAGUUUCGGCGGUUGGGGAUGGACUCGCGGCUUAUCAGCUUGUUGGUGGGGUAGUGGCUUACCAAGGCUUUGACGGGUAGCCGGCCUGAGAGGGUGACCGGCCACAUUGGGACUGAGAUACGGCCCAGACUCCUACGGGAGGCAGCAGUGGGGAAUAUUGCACAAUGGGCGGAAGCCUGAUGCAGCAACGCCGCGUGCGGGAUGACGGCCUUCGGGUUGUAAACCGCUUUCGCCUGUGACGAAGCGUGAGUGACGGUAAUGGGUAAAGAAGCACCGGCUAACUACGUG
rnacentral:rRNA from 1 species